rnacentral:rRNA from 1 species
GAUGAACGCUAGCUACAGGCUUAACACAUGCAAGUCGAGGGGAAACGAUGAGAGAGCUUGCUCUCUUAGUCGUCGACCGGCGCACGGGUGAGUAACGCGUAUCCAACCUGCCUCUGACCAAGGGAUAACCCGUCGAAAGUCGGACUAAUACCUUAUGCAGUCGUCGGAAGUCAUCUGAUGACGACGAAAGAUUUCAUCGGUGAGAGAUGGGGAUGCGUCUGAUUAGCUUGUUGGCGGGGUAACGGCCCACCAAGGCGACGAUCAGUAGGGGUUCUGAGAGGAAGGUCCCCCACAUUGGAACUGAGACACGGUCCAAACUCCUACGGGAGGCAGCAGUGAGGAAUAUUGGUCAAUGGGCGUAAGCCUGAACCAGCCAAGUAGCGUGCAGGAUGACGGCCCUAUGGGUUGUAAACUGCUUUUAUGCGGGGAUAAAGUGAGGGACGUGUCCUUCAUUGCAGGUACCGCAUGAAUAAGGACCGGCUAAUUCCGUG